AAGGAAGCAUAUGAUGUGUGAAACAUAUGGCCCUGCAUAUGUAUGAAGUUUGGAUGAGAAUAUGCUUCACAAAAUAGUAAUGUAUUUUUAUUUUUUAGUGAAGGGGGUGACGAGGCAAAGAAGGCCAGAAAUUCACACUAAAAACAAGAAGUGGAAUCUCCUUCCCCUUGUCUGCUUGGCUUUCUCCCGUGAGGGGAAAAAGACAACCUAUGAAGUUCCUGAUAGAGUUGAGGUGGAGCAAUAAGUACAGAUUUUUCUGAGUCUUCCACAGACACGUUUCCUGUUAAUCUGGAUGACAUCCCAUCAGUCUUUAUAAAAGAUCCUGACAUACCU
rnacentral:lncRNA from 1 species